UACGAAGGGGACUAGCGUUGUUCGGAAUUACUGGGCGUAAAGCGCACGUAGGCGGAUUUGUAAGUCAGGGGUGAAAUCCUGGAGCUCAACUCCAGAACUGCCUUUGAUACUGAGGAUCUUGAGUUCGGGAGAGGUGAGUGGAACUGCGAGUGUAGAGGUGAAAUUCGUAGAUAUUCGCAAGAACACCAGUGGCGAAGGCGGCUCACUGGCCCGAUACUGACGCUGAGGCACGAAAGCGUGGGGAGCAAACAGG
rnacentral:rRNA from 1 species